rnacentral:rRNA from 1 species
GACGAACGCUGGCGGCGUGCCUAAUACAUGCAAGUCGAGCGAAGUUUUUCUGGUGCUUGCACUAGAAAAACUUAGCGGCGAACGGGUGAGUAACACGUAAAGAACCUGCCUCAUAGACUGGGACAACUAUUGGAAACGAUAGCUAAUACCGGAUAACAGUAUUUCUCGCAUGAGAGAUAUUUAAAAGUUGGUUAUGCUAACACUAUGAGAUGGCUUUGCGGUGCAUUAGCUAGUUGGUGGGGUAAAGGCCCACCAAGGCGACGAUGCAUAGCCGACCUGAGAGGGUGAUCGGCCACACUGGGACUGAGACACGGCCCAGACUCCUACGGGAGGCAGCAGUAGGGAAUCUUCCGCAAUGGGCGAAAGCCUGACGGAGCAACGCCGCGUGAGUGAAGAAGGAUUUCGGUUCGUAAAGCUCUGUUGUUAGGGAAGAAUGGAUAUGUAGUAACUAUACAUAUAAGAGACGGUGCCUAACCAGAAAGCCACGGCUAACUACGUGCCAGCAGCCGCGGUAAUACGUAGGUGGCAAGCGUUGUCCGGAAUUAUUGGGCGUAAAGCGCGCGCAGGUGGUUUAAUAAGUCUGAUGUGAAAGCCCACGGCUCAACCGUGGAGGGUCAUUGGAAACUGUUAAACUUGAGUGCAGGAGAGAAAAGUGGAAUUCCUAGUGUAGCGGUGAAAUGCGUAGAGAUUAGGAGGAACACCAGUGGCGAAGGCGGCUUUUUGGCCUGUAACUGACACUGAGGCGCGAAAGCGUGGGGAGCAAACAGG